UACGGAGGGUGCAAGCGUUAUCCGGAUUUACUGGGCUUAAAGGGUGCGCAGGCGGAUAUGUAAGUCAGUGGUGAAAUCUUUGGGCUUAACCCGAAAAUUGCCAUUGAUACUAUAUAUCUUGAAUGCUGUGGAGGUAAGCGGAAUAUGUCAUGUAGCGGUGAAAUGCUUAGAGAUGACAUAGAACACCUAUGGCGAAGGCAGCCCACUACGCAGAUAUUGACGCUGAGGCACGAAAGCGUGGGGAUCAAACAGG
rnacentral:rRNA from 1 species